rnacentral:lncRNA from 1 species
GGGCUUUUCAGCUAGGUUUGGCUCACCGUCCCCCUCCUCCCAGGCCCAAGCUUGGUCCCCAAUGUCCCCAGCAAUGCUUGGGACGUCCCUCACUUCGCUCCUUUUUUGGGGGGCCACUGCCCACCCCUAGGUUGCCUGCUGUCCCUCCUAGAGAGAGGUGGAUGGCCGUCACAUUCCACGGAGAACAAAGGGAUGAGUGAGGGGGCAAAGACGCCCUUCUAAAGUUUCACCCCGGAAAGGCAUCCCACUCCGCCGGCGAGGCGCCCUCAGGCUACAGCCUUCGGGGAGCCUCCUCCCUUCGCCCCGCCCCUCUGCACAGGGGACUGGCGGUGCGGCCGGCGCUCUCUGAUUGGCGUCCGCCUCAGGGUUCCCGUCGGCACCAGCGUGUGCCAAGUGGGGAACAGGUUGGGAGUUGCUGGAAGUGGAGGCGGGGGAGCGGCCACUGGCAGUGAGCGCGGGCGGCGGCUGGGCGCAAAGUAGAGAGCAGUCCGUAGUUUAAGCCUUUCCGUCGCCCUCCGGCACUGCCAGUACCACGGACUCCACCCUGCCGCGGCCCCUCGGUGACGCGUGCAGCUGCCACUCGACCAGAUUGUGUUUAUGUCAGGACGUUGCCUGAAAUAAAACUGAAGCUUCAUAGUUUAGCCUUUAAUUGUGUUUUAUAGUUUAGCAGUUAUGAAUUCAGUUAAUCUAGUACCUCUGAUUUCACAAGGGAGUAUAAUAACCCUUUUCUCAGUUCAUAGGAAUUUUGUAUAGUUGGUUAAGUCAGAGAUCAAAAUGAGACAAACACUUAUUCAUGUGCAUUUUCCUGGAGUUUAUUGGUGAUCCCAAGUCUCCAGCCUGGAAGGGCUACCUCCUCACGGUGCUGAUGUUCUCUCGGCCUGCCUGCAGACGCUGUUUAAGCAGCAGAACACGUACUGGCUCAAGGUGCUGAAGAUAAGGCUGUAGUAUGCCAUCACUGGCCUGGUGUACAGAAAGGAGAGCAAACGAGGCAGAAGGACUUGUGGGCUCAAUUCACCAGCUCUAUCCUCAGGAACUCGAGGACCAUCAAGUUCCAUGGCUGGGAGGGAGCCUUUCUGGACAGAAUCCUGGGCAUCCGAGGCCAGGAGCUGCGUACCUUGUGGACCUCUGGCCUCCUCUUCUUUAUGUCGCUGGUGUCCUUCCAAGCAUCUACAUUUCUGGUCAUGUCACUCUAGUCUCUAUGCUGAGCAGGACUGGGGAAGGAGUGUGGAACUCAGAAGGUGAGGUAGGUGGAGCCUCCCUGAUCCUACCACCCUGUCCAUCAAAACCCACACAUUCUGGAUCCUAUUCUCUCAGGGUUUCUGCUAUCUUCUGUGUGAAUGAAUUAAUCACAUCAUUCUGGUGA